GCUGUUGUAUAGCAGUGUUGUAUAGCAGUGUUUUUCCUUACACAGCUGUAGAGAAUACCUUAAGUACUGCAGUGUGGAUUUACUGGAAGCUGAAGUACUUAUUACAUCAUCUAAAGCAACUGAAUCAGACCAAGCCAAGGAUUUGGGAGUGCCUCGAAGCAGCUUUCUGUAAGAAAACCUACCCACCAACAACUUUUACAAGGGCAGAAGGACGAGCUGCUUGGCUGCUGUCUGUGUGCUGGAAAAGACAAGGUAUGUGACAAGCUGCUGUGUGAAUGGGGGCUGUAUCAUUCUGACAGAUAUGAUGUACAGAAGUAUGGACUGAACAUUCAGUUUUGU
rnacentral:lncRNA from 1 species